GACGAACGCUGGCGGCGUGCCUAAUACAUGCAAGUCGAACGCUUCUUUUUCCACCGGAGCUUGCUCCACCGGAAAAAAAAGAGUGGCGAACGGGUGAGUAACACGUGGGUAACCUGCCCAUCAGAAGGGGAUAACACUUGGAAACAGGUGCUAAUACCGUAUAACAAUCGAAACCGCAUGGUUUUGAUUUGAAAGGCGCUUUCGGGUGUCGCUGAUGGAUGGACCCGCGGUGCAUUAGCUAGUUGGUGAGGUAACGGCUCACCAAGGCCACGAUGCAUAGCAGGCCUGAGAGGGUGAUCGGCCAAAUUGGGACUGAGACACGGCCCAAACUCCUACGGGAGGCAGCAGUAGGGAAUCUUCGGCAAUGGACGAAAGUCUGACCGAGCAACGCGGCGUGAGUGAAGAAGGUUUUCGGAUCGUAAAACUCUGUUGUUAGAGAAGGACAAGGAUGAGAGUAACUGUUCAUCCCCUGACGGUAUCUAACCAGAAAGCCACGGCUAACCACGUGCCAGCCGCCGCGGUAA
rnacentral:rRNA from 1 species